ACCCCAGGUCAGGCGGGAGCACCCGUUGAGUUUAAGCAUAUCAAUAAGGGAAGGAAAAGAAACUUACCAGGAUUCCCCUAGUAACGGCGAGCGAACCGGGAACAGCCUAGCUUGAAAAUUGGUCGCCCUCGGUGUUCAAAUUGUAGUCUUGAGAAGAUCGUCAACGGUGGACUGGGCCCAAUUCCCCUGGAAGGGGGCACCUGUGAGGGUGAGAGCCCUGUCGUGCCCGGACCCUGUCGCACCAUGAGGCACUGUCUACGAGUCGGGUUGUUUGGGAAUACAGCCCUAAUCGGGCGGUAAAUUCCAUCCAAGGCUAAAUGUGGGUGAGAGACAGAUAGCGAACAAGUGCCGUGAGGGAAAGAUGAAAAGGACUUUGAAAUGGGAGUCAAAGGGUGCUUGAAAUUGUCGGGAGGGAAGCGGAUGGUGGCCGGCGAUGCUCCCCAGUCAGAUGUAGAACGGCACAAAUUGAUCUGCCGAUCGGCUCAAGGUGUGGACCGACGCGGAUUGUGUUGGUGUCCCAAGCCCGAGCUUUUGAAAUGCUCGUGGAGAUGGCGUCACCUCAAUUGUGGCCUGCAGUGUGCACCUCACAGAGUGCUUUAGCAUCUGCGUGCACCAAGCAUCGCCUUACGGGCUCCCCUUUUGACCCGUCUUGAAACACGGACCAAGGAGUCUUACAUGUGUGAAAGUCAAUGGGCAAGAAAACAAAUAAGGCGGAAGGAAGCUGAUUGGUGGGAUCCCCUGUGGGUGGACCGCCGACUGACCUUGAUCUUCUGAGAAGGGUUCGAGUAAGAGCAUGCCUGUCGGGACCCGAAAGAUGGUGAACUAUGCCUGAGCGGGGUGAAGCCGAAGGAAACUCUGGUGGAUGCCCGCAGCGAUACUGACGUGCAAAUCAUUCGUCUGACUUGGGUAUAAGGGCGAAAGACUAAUCGAACCAUCUAGUAACUGGUUCCCUCCGAAGUUUCCUUCAGGAUAGUUGGAGCUCGUGUGAGUUCUAUAGGGUAAAGCUAAUGAUUAGAGGCAUCAGGGGUGUAACGCCCUCGACCAAUUCUCAAACUUUAAAUAGGUAGGACAGUGUGGCUUCCUUGUUCAGCCGCGUCACGGAAUCGAGAACUCCAAGUGGGCCAUUUUUGGUAAGCAGAACUAGCGAUGCGGGAUGAACCGGAAGCCGGGUUACGGUGCCCAACUGCGCGUUAACCUAGAUCCCACAAAGGGUGUUGGUCGAUCAAGGAAGUCAAAAUCUGCUUAGGAGUGUGUAACAACUCACCUGCCGAAUAAACUAGCCCCGAAAAUGGAUGGCGCUGAAGCACGCGACCCAUACCCGGCUGUUGGGGCAAGUACUAGGCCCCGAUGAGUAGGAGGGUGCGGUGGUAUCUACAAAACCCGGGGCAUGAGCCCGGGCCGAGCGGCUGUCGGUGCAGAUCUUAGUGGUAGUAGCAAAUAUUCAAAUGAGAACUUUGAAGGCAGAAGAGGGGAAAGGUUCCAUGUGAACGGCACUUGCAUAUGGGUUAGUCGCUCCUAAGAGACAGGGGAAGCCCGUUCGAUAGCGCUUCGGUGUGAGCUUUGAAAGGGAAUUAGGUUCAAAUUCCCGAACCGGGACACAACAGCUGAUGGCAACGUUAGGGAGUCCGGAGACGUCGGCGGGGGCCCCGGGAAGAGUUAUCUUUUCUGUUUAAUGGCCUGCCCACCCUGGAAAUGGCUCAGUCGGAGGUAGGGUCUAGCGGCCGGAAAAGCGUCGCACGUCUCGGGGCGUCCGGUGCGCCCCUGGUGGCCCUUGAAAAUCUGGAGGACCGAGUGUCGUCCGUGCCCAGUCGUACUCAUAACCGCGUCAGGUCUCCAAGGUGAACAACCUCUAGUCAAUGGAACAAUGUAGGCAAGGGAAGUCGGCAAAAUGGAUCCGUAACCUUGGGAAAAGGAUUGGCUCUGAGGGCUGGGCAUGGGGGUCCCAGUCCCGAACCCGUCGACUGUCAGCGGACUACUCGAGCUGCUCCCACAACGAGAGUGGGUCGGCGCGUGCCAGCUGGGGGACGGACUGGGAACGGGCCCUUACAGGGCCUUCCCCGGGCGUCAAAUAGCCACCUCAGAACUAGUACGGACAAGGGGAAUCGGACUGUUUAAUUAAAGCAAAGCAUUACGAUGGUCCCUGCGGAUGCUCACACAAUGUGAUUUCUGCCCAGUGCUCUGAAUGUCAAAGUGAAGAAAUUCAACCAAGUGCAGUUAAACGGCAGGAGUAACUACGACUCUCUUAAGGUAGCCAAAUGCCUCAUCAUCUAAUUAGUGACGCGCAUGAAUGGAUUAACGAGAUUCCCACUAUCCCUAUCUACUCUCCAGCGAAACCAUAGUGAAGGGAACGGGCUUGGAAGAAUCAGCGGGGAAAGAAGGCCCUGUUAAGCUUGACUCUAGUCCGACUUUGUGAAAUGACUUGAGAUGUGCAGGAUAAGUGGGAGCCCUACGGGCGCAAGUGAAAUACCACUACUUUUAACGUUAUUUUACUUAUUCCGUGAAUCAGACGCGGGGCAAUUGUUAGGACCACCCUUCUGAGCCUAGCUAAGGCCAAGAAAAAUGAGAAACAUACUAUAACAAUAUAAAAAGGGACUCAGUUGAGCAAGGUGGUAGUGAUGAGAAUGCAAAACUACAAGACUAUGUACUUUAAGUGCACCUAAAUGAGAGACUAUAUUGAGUUUGACAGAAAAUAAAGUUGGAAGGCUAAAUUGCACACAAGGACUAGUGGUGCAAACAAAACUACAAGGUAUGAGUUGAUGAUUUCGGCCAUGCAAAACUGUUAGGUACCUCCUAAGUGCUUGGCUUAGGCCAAGAAAAAACAAAGGAAAACAAAGAAAAGCAUAAAGGAAGGGUGAGGAGAACUAUGGAAACUAGUACAGUGGUCUAUGUGUAAAGCUGAAAAUUUUCAGGGCUAAACUGCACAUAGAAACUAGACUAUGGAAAAACAGACAGAAAACAGAGAACGGGGAUCAAAUUGUACACUUGAAUGAGUGGUACAAUUAAAACUAUCAACUUUAAGUUGAUCAU
rnacentral:rRNA from 1 species